GCGGGGGGUUGAUGCGCAGACUUGAUCGGGUCGGGGAACUUUAUUUUGAAGGUUUCCUGACCCGACCAGCUGUUUUAAAAGACACAACACACCAGGAAGCAGUGACAGCUCUGACGAAGGCUGUAGUGACAGUCGAAAAUGUGAGCAACGCAAGAGUUUCCUCUUAACUGGAAAAAAAUCCAAAAACCAUUGAAAAGAGGGAGACAAGAUGAAUGUUCUCGAGUCUACUUUAAAGGCACAACUCAAGCGCUUUAUAGAACAAAAUACAAUUGAAUAUAACUAUAUUGUCAUUGUCAGAGGAGAAAUAAAAAUCAGUCAGGCAUCUCACAGCUGACAGCGUUGAGGUAAAAAAGAAAUAUAAGCAAACAAUUAUCAAACUUAUCCUUAUUCAUGCAAGGUAAAGAAGCCAUGUUGCUAACAGUCCAUUAAGUCAGCAGUCUAAUCUGUUUAAAUGCCACCUGUAGUUACAUCAACAUAAUUCGUUUGCAUGUUGGGAGGAUAUUACACAUUGGUGUCUCCUGUUAGCUACUAGGCUUUACACGAUCAGGAUUUUUGGGGCCGACCACUGAUCAGAGAGUUUUAAAAAACUGAUCCAAUCACAAGAUGGAGCACUGUGUCUAUUUAAAUGACUUUUUAUUUACUGUAUAUACUUGUGUACUGAAUAGAGAGUAUCUUCAAAAAUAUUCUCUCGUCAGGUCAUGUAUUCUAAUCAGUCAGGUCAAACCAACAUUACAAUAUGACAGAAAUAAUGGGUUUGAAAGCAGUGGUAAAAUACAGCCUCCAUUUUGCCACAGCAGUUAUUGUCUCCUUAACAUGGCCAAAACCUAAAAGUCACUGUCACACCAAAAAACGAAAUGAAGGAGAACUUGGUUUCCCCCAUUGUUGUUUGUUAGCGCAUUUCGUUUCGACUGACAUGGUUAAUGUGGCCCGGUUUUCAAACAGAAGUGGUACUGUUCAAUGGAAAGCAGCCAUACUUGAGAAUACUUUAAAAGCUUUAAUAAAUUUUAAAAAGAAGCUAUAAAAAGACAUACUUUGCUAAAAUGUAAAAACCUUGUUUGUAGAAUAUAGUCAUGCAAGGAAGUCAUUUUUUCUGAGAUAAUUGCCCUCUUGUCAUGCUUCCCACCCCCCACCCCCACAACUGUUCUCCUUGUUAUUCUCACAGGUGUUAACCAGUCAUUGCCAACCGUUUUCCAUUUAUUCUGUAGGCUGGCAAGAAGAGCUGAAAUGCACAUGGGUGCUACUGAAAGCAUGCCUGGCAUCUCUCGUUCAAGCCCAACAAAGCUACAUGCGUUAACUACGCUUCACCACCCACCAAAAGACCUUGAUGAUAUGUGGGUUAUGUCGGAUGAAGGGGGGAUCAUUCCUGACAACACUGGGAACUAAACAGCUGAAAAAUAUGGUUCACUGGAUUUGCAAUGCCGACACACAGUUGAAGAGGAGUUACCACUCGAUUUCCCCAAACUCUGAGACAAAGCACUUCAAUCAUAAGCUUUGGCUUUCGAUCGCAGCCUUGACGGUAUGUGGGGAUCCAUUGGAGGCCUGGAGUUGUGUAGUUUUCCCUUUAUGUGGCUGUGUGCCAUGCUGGAAAGGAAAGACACUGGCUGGAAUAAAAAGACCCUCAAUAACUCCUACUGUGUGUGCAAGACAAAGAAAAAGGAGCAUUAUUAUGAAUCCCACUGCAGUUCUGAAGAGGGCAUGCCCUACUGCAAUGUGAUUGGCUAAAACAGUCUCGUGUGAUUCUUAAUAAUGAAUCAGUGAGGGCACCGCGGCCUGGUAGAGGAAGGAGAUCACAUUACCACCCAUCACUCUGACAAAUUGAAGGAAAACCUGGACCACUAACAACGUGCCAGACUCAGCCAUCCAGCUACAGAUCCUCUCAGUCUACUGCGCAAACAUGGCGGAUUGUGCGUCUUACUUAAUAACAGAUGGUGUGUGGACGUUCAGGUGAUGGAGAAAUACUGCUCAAAUGACAUAGAGUUCAGUACUGUCUCCAUGCUGGCCGUUUACAUCGCAACACCGGCCCACAAAACGAGAGCGUUAGCUCUAAUGAAUGACAUUACAAACACGAGACUCCACAACCAGAUGCCGUGUUUGCUGUAGGGGAAGAUUUUUACCAGUUACCUCAGAACGGUUCUCCCAAAGUACAUACAUACAUACAUACUGUGGCCAAUACUUUGCCACAAAAAUCAAAAUAAUUUUAAGAUUUGUUUUGGUUUGUUUAUCCGUGAAUAGGUGAAUGCCGUACUGUGAACAUGCAGGGUGUCCACUGGUACACCUUGACUUAAGAGUGCCUCAACUUAAGAGUUGUUUGAGUUACGAGCCGUCGUUUAGUCGAUUUUUUGUUUUUAGAUGUGAGCCAGAAUUUAAGUCAGCGUGGGCUUCAGCUACGCCGCCACUCGAGUGAAAAAGCCUCAGUCACAAAUUCACUUUGAGCCGUUUGUUGAACGAGACAAACAGUCAAACACACAAAGACAAAACGAGAACACUCACAAGGCGCUACGGUAGGCCAAACCUCACACAGACGGUCACACGUAGCCUAACUUGCCAACUCGACUGCCGCUCCUGACAUGACUCACUACGCUACACUCCUUAAAAGGCACACAUA